UACGGAGGGGGCUAGCGUUGUUCGGAAUUACUGGGCGUAAAGCGCACGUAGGCGGCUUUGUAAGUUAGAGGUGAAAGCCCGGGGCUCAACUCCGGAAUUGCCUUUAAGACUGCAUCGCUAGAAUUGUGGAGAGGUAAGUGGAAUUCCGAGUGUAGAGGUGAAAUUCGUAGAUAUUCGGAAGAACACCAGUGGCGAAGGCGACUUACUGGACACAUAUUGACGCUGAGGUGCGAAAGCGUGGGGAGCAUACAGG
rnacentral:rRNA from 1 species